rnacentral:tRNA from 3 species
GGAGCAGUAGCUCAGUUUGGUUAGAGUAUCGGCCUGUCACGCCGAGGGUCGCGGGUUCGAGUCCCGUCUGCUCCGCCA